GGGUCAGUAGGUUGGUCGUGCCACCGGUACGUACUGGUCUCACUGAUUCCUCCUUCCUGAAGAACCGUAAUGCCAUUAAUUUGGUGUUGCGGGGAAACAGGACUGUUACUUUGAAAAAAUUAGAGUGUUUAAAGCAAGCCAACGCUUGAAUACAUUAGCAUGGAAUAAUGAAAUAGGACGAUCGAUCCUAUUUUGUUGGUUUCCAGGAUUGACGUA
rnacentral:rRNA from 1 species